ACUCACCCUCCCAGUGUGCUUGAGAAACAAACUGCACCCACUGAACUCCGCAGCUAGCAUCCAAAUCAGCCCUUGAGAUUUGAGGCCUUGGAGACUCAGAUCCUGAACAAGAGAGAACAAAAUCUCUACUUUGAUGGAACUUCCAUUCUGUGGGGAAGAGACUGACAAUAAGCAAUUAAAUAAAUAAGAACUCAGCAGUAGGCCUUGCCUCAGAUCCAAGGUCACUCGGAAGAGGCCAUGUCUACCCUCAAUGACACUCAUGGAGGAAAUGCUGAGAGAAGCAUUCAGAUGCAUGACACAAGAGCCAAUGAAAGGCUCUAUUGCUAUGCAAUCUGGUCCAAAACCACUCUUCAGGAGGAUGUCUUCACUGGUGGGCCCCACACAAAGCUUCUUCAUGAGGGAAUCUAAGGCUCUGGGGGCUGUCCAGAUUAUGAAUGGGCUCUUCCACAUUGCCCUGGGGGUCUUCUGAUGAUCCCAGCAGGGAUCUAUGCACCCAUCUGUGUGACUGUGUGGUACCCUCUCUGGGGAGGCAUUAUGCCUGUAUGUGAGAAAAGGAAAAUGAGCAAUAGUCAUCAUCACUU
rnacentral:sRNA from 1 species